UAUCAAAGGAAUGCAGCUCAACCAAUCCAACAACUCCACAUUUGCAGACACUAACAUUGGGGUUUUUGAUGAAGAACGACUCAAGCCUACUGACACCAAUCUUCAAAACAGACAA